rnacentral:rRNA from 1 species
AGAGUUUGAUCCUGGCUCAGGACGAACGCUGGCGGCGUGCUUAACACAUGCAAGUCGAACGGAAAGAGAUGAAAGAGCUUGCUCUUUUAUUAAUUUCAGUGGCAAACGGGUGAGUAACACGUAAACAACCUGCCUUAAGGAUGGGGAUAACAGACGGAAACGACUGCUAAUACCGAAUACGUUCUAAGCAUCGCAUGGUGCAUAGAAGAAAGGGUGGCCUCUACAAGAAAGCUAUCGCCUUAAGAGGGGUUUGCGACUGAUUAGGUAGUUGGUGAGGUAACGGCUCACCAAGCCGACGAUCAGUAGCCGGUCUGAGAGGAUGAACGGCCACACUGGAACUGAGACACGGUCCAGACUCCUACGGGAGGCAGCAGUGGGGAAUCUUCCGCAAUGGACGAAAGUCUGACGGAGCAACGCCGCGUGAACGAAGAAGGUCUUCGGAUUGUAAAGUUCUGUGAUUCGGGACGAAAGGGUUUGUGGUGAAUAAUCAUAGACAUUGACGGUACCGAAAAAGCAAGCCACGGCUAACUACGUGCCAGCAGCCGCGGUAAUACGUAGGUGGCAAGCGUUGUCCGGAAUUAUUGGGCGUAAAGCGCGCGCAGGCGGUUUCUUAAGUCCAUCUUAAAAGCGUGGGGCUCAACCCCAUGAGGGGAUGGAAACUGGGAAGCUGGAGUAUCGGAGAGGAAAGUGGAAUUCCUAGUGUAGCGGUGAAAUGCGUAGAGAUUAGGAAGAACACCGGUGGCGAAGGCGACUUUCUAGACGAAAACUGACGCUGAGGCGCGAAAGCGUGGGGAGCAAACAGGAUUAGAUACCCUGGUAGUCCACGCCGUAAACGAUGGAUACUAGGUGUAGGAGGUAUCGACCCCUCCUGUGCCGGAGUUAACGCAAUAAGUAUCC